rnacentral:piRNA from 1 species
UUUGAAGGAAAGUCCAUUUCAAAUCUCUUU